rnacentral:rRNA from 1 species
UACGUAGGGUGCAAGCGUUGUCCGGAAUUAUUGGGCGUAAAGAGCUCGUAGGCGGUUUGUCGCGUCUGCUGUGAAAACUCGGGGCUUAACCCCGGGCCUGCAGUGGGUACGGGCAGACUAGAGUGCGGUAGGGGAGACUGGAAUUCCUGGUGUAGCGGUGAAAUGCGCAGAUAUCAGGAGGAACACCGGUGGCGAAGGCGGGUCUCUGGGCCGUAACUGACACUGAGGAGCGAAAGCGUGGGGAGCGAACAGG